UACAGAGGGGGCAAGCGUUGUUCGGAAUUACUGGGCGUAAAGGGCGCGUAGGCGGCCUUCUAAGUCGAACGUGAAAUCCCCGGGCUCAACCCGGGAACUGCGUCCGAUACUGGAGGGCUUGAAUCCGGGAGAGGGAUGUGGAAUUCCAGGUAUAGCGGUGAAAUGCGUAGAUAUCUGGAGGAACACCGGUGGCGAAGGCGACAUCCUGGACCGGUAUUGACGCUGAGGCGCGAAAGCCAGGGGAGCAAACGGG
rnacentral:rRNA from 1 species